GAUGAAGAACGUAGUGAAAUGCGAUAAGUAAUGUGAAUUGCAGAAUUCAGUGAAUCAUCGAAUCUUUGAACGCACAUUGCGCCCGUCAGUAUUCUGGCGGGCAUGCCUGUUCGAGCGUCAUUACGCCCCACAAGUCCCCUGUGGACUUGGUGUUGGGGAUCGGCGAGGCUGGUUUUCCAGCACAGCCGUCCCUUAAAUUAAUUGGCGGUCUCGCCGUGGCCCUCCUCUGCGCAGUAGUAAAACACUCGCAACAGGAGCCCGGCGCGGUCCACUGCCGUAAAACCCCCCAACUUUUUAUAGUUGACCUCGAAUCAGGUAGGACUACCCGCUGAACUUAAGCAUAUCAAUAAGCGGAGGA
rnacentral:misc_RNA from 1 species